rnacentral:rRNA from 1 species
CACGCCGUAAACGAUGAGCGCUAGGUGUUGGGGGUAUUGACCCCCCCAGUACCGCAGCUAACGCGUUAAGCGCUCCGCCUGGGGAGUACGGCCGCAAGGCUAAAACUCAAAGGAAUUGACGGGGACCCGCACAAGCGGUGGAUGAUGUGGUUUAAUUCGAUGCAACGCGAAAAACCUUACCCACCUUUGACAUGUAUGGAAGAUCGCAGAGACGCGAUUGUGCUCGAAAGAGAGCCAUAACACAGGUGC